rnacentral:rRNA from 1 species
CUACGGGUGGCUGCAGUGGGGAAUCUUGCGCAAUGGACGAAAGUCUGACGCAGCGACGCCGCGUGGGUGAUGAAGGCCUUCGGGUCGUAAAGCCCUGUUCUGGGGGAAGAAACCACUUCGGUGCUGACGGUACCCCAGAAGAAAGCACAGGCUAACCCCGUGCCAGCAGCCGCGGUAAUACGGAGUGUGCUAGCGUUGUUCGGAUUUACUGGGCGUAAAGCGCAUGUAGGUGGCUUGACAAGUCGGAUGUGAAAUCCCGUGGCUCAACCUCGGAACUGCAUUCGAAACUGUCUUGCUUGAGUCCGGGAGGGGGUUGCGGAAUUCCGUGUGUAGAGGUGAAAUUCGUAGAUAUACGGAGGAACACCCGUGGCGAAGGCGGCAACCUGGACCGGUACUGGCGCUGAGAUGCGAAAGCGUGGGGAGCAAACAGGAUUAGAUACCCUCGUAGUC